rnacentral:rRNA from 1 species
UACGAAGGGGGCUAGCGUUGCUCGGAAUCACUGGGCGUAAAGCGCACGUAGGCGGAUUGCUAAGUCAGGGGUGAAAUCCUGGAGCUCAACUCCAGAACUGCCUUUGAUACUGGCGAUCUUGAGUCCGGGAGAGGUGAGUGGAACUGCGAGUGUAGAGGUGAAAAUUCGUAGAUAUUCGCAAGAACACCAGUGGCGAAGGCGGCUCACUGGCCCGGUACUGACGCUGAGGUGCGAAAGCGUGGGGAGCAAACAGG